GGCCCCAUGGUCAAGCGGUUAAGACGCCGCCCUCUCACGGCGGCAACAGGGGUUCGAAUCCCCUUGGGGUCACCA
rnacentral:tRNA from 1 species